GAUUAAGGUGCGAAGAGGUGAGUUCAACUUGGUGAUUGAAAAGAUUGUGAUAAGGUAUGUUAAGGCUAAGCCUUCCUUCAUUUUGGCAUGAUCUCGUAGCUACAUGUGUUAGUAAUGAGACAAAAAGAGAAGUUCAUAUUCAUGAAUUUAUUCACACUAUUCUAGUCUCAUAAGUUACAAUAGUAUUCCUUAUCGAGACUCUAUAUUCAAUUUUAGUAUUGUCUUCUUCCAGUCAAGAGAGCAGCAAGCCUAUAUAUACAGUAUUACAGUAUUUUCAUUACCAUCGAGCUAUAAUCGAUGGGCAGGCCCCUAUUGGGCAACCUCUGAUCAGAUGGAAAGUUAUAUACCGAGCCUACUAUGGCCGAGCGCCUAUGAGCGAGCCCAGCAUGGCCGAGAUACAUAGCCUAGUAUGGCCGAGCGCCUAUGAGCGAGCCUACUAUGGCAGAGCAGUUAUAUAUAUACCGAGCCUUAUAAGGCCGUACAAUUAUUUUACUUACUAUAUUGAAGGAGUUGAGUCAGUAUCAGCAGGUAAGUAUAUCUCCAGAUCAUCUUUGACUCCCAGUUAAUUUCAGUUAUCAUAUUAUCAGUUCAGUUUCAGAUUUCAGUUAUUUUAUUGCCUUACAUACUCGGUACUUUAUUUCGUACUGACGUCCCUUUUUUUGGGGGCGCUGCAUUUCAUGCGUGCAGGUUCAGACAGACAGACGGGUAGACCUCCUCAGUAGGUGUUUUCCGAGUUCCGCCUGAUCGGUAAGCUCCACGUCUUUCGGAGUUGCCAGGACUAGAGUUUUGUGUACAUCUUAUGUAUAUCUGUAUAUAUGUUAUGGGUAGGUCGGGGCCCUGUUCCGAUCACAGUACAUCUAUUAGUAGAGGCUUGUAGGCAUAUCCUGUUGGUUAGUGCAUUAUGUUGGGUUUGUAUAAAUUGGUGGUUUGUCAGCUGUAG
rnacentral:lncRNA from 1 species